CCCAGGCUUGCUGGAAAGGGGCCACUCCUCUCCCAAGGACAGACCAAGAGCAAGAGGCCGUAGCCAGCCCCCCGCCCCCAAUGAAGAGCACCUCAGGCCACUAAACCCCUAAACUGGAUGGCAGAUUUCGCAAAGGAACAGCAACUGCUCAGCAUGCAAGCAAGCCCUCAACAUGGAGGGCCACACCAGAGGAAACUCAACACACAAACUCAGCACUUCAGACUUGUGACUGUGGCCCACACUGGGAGCCUCUAAUCCACUGACACGCUUCUACAAGGACCCAUGGACAUAAGCACACACACACACAAGCCAAGCCCCCAAGUCACAAAUGAAGAACGCAUCAAUAAACCCUUGAUACCAACAA